CUGGAAUUUUAUUCAAUAAAAAAUCCCCAAUAUUAUGGGGAUAGUAAUGCCUCCCUCAUAAGGUUAAUUUCAGAAUUAAAUAAAACAUGUUAUGUAACACACUAGUACAGGUCGUCUUGGGGUAUAGAAGAGCAUGGUAGAUGUUAGUAAGCUGACAAGAGCAAGCUAAGUUUGUUUAGCAAUGCUCUUCUCCAGCCCUUUCCUGCUGUCUGGCCUCACUAUCCCAGUGUUACAGGAUGGAGGAGAGUCUGAAGCUUCAGGAUCCCCAGCUGUGAGGUCCCCUUCCCCCUUUCUCCACUGCUCAGUCCCAAGGGGCUGUGUCUCCCUGGCACUCCAGCAACCAUCCCAGACACUGACGUUGUCAUAAACUGCACACUUACGCUCAUGGAUCCUCUUCAUCAUGUCCAGAGGCACAUUUACUUAUCAUUAUUGAUAAGGACAUGCCACACUCAUUGCUGAGGUAUUUAUUGAGCUUUUACUGUGUUCCAGUAUGUAACUUAUUCACCUUAAAGCAUCUGUCUUUGAUUAUAAGACUGCUGAUCUUCAAAAGCACAUUUGUGAGUCUCAGAAUCUCAGGGUUGCCAGGAUUCUUGAAGGUCACUCCACUCAACCUACUGGUGCUUCAUUCCCUGCUGACAACAGCUGACUGCCUCCUGUAGAAGGGUGGUCUAGGAGUUCCCGGUCACUCAUGUCAACUCAGCUAGUAAACUGCAGCAUGACCUUAACAAGUCACUCGAUUUCUGAGUUUCAGGCUUACAAUAUGUAAAACGAAGUGUUGGAAAACAUUAUCUUUCCAUUGCUGAUAUUCUUUGGCCCUUAUUAAUAUCAUAGUCAUUCUAAUCUCUUGUUUCUCCACAUCCAAAUAUGGAUGCCCUCUGUGUCCCAACCCAGAUAGAGGAGGAGGUAUUUUUUUUUUGCCAUGGCAGGCCUCUAAGUUUGUUUUUUGGGGGCUCUCUCUCUCUUCUCCCUUCCUUGUCACCACCUUCCCUUUGUCCUAGAAAUAUGUAUUACAUUCACAGAAUAUCUGGAAAAACCAAAACCCUGGAUCUAUACCUUAUGCUUCCAAAAAAUAAUAAAUUCCCGAUGGCUCAAACAGACUUAAAUGUAAAAAGUAAAAAAUGGGAUUUUUUGGUUUGUUUUUAAUUUCCUUGGAGUAUGAACAUAGGCUUUUCAAAGGAAAACACGGAUCCCGGGAGUCUAAAAGACUGUUAAGUGUAACUGCCUAAGGAUGAAAUAUUUAUGCAAGAUAGAAACAAAACAUAAAAACAGAAACAUGAAAUAAAGAUUUGUUUGAUUUAUGCAAAAUGUUCUCUUACAAACCUGUACAUUCAUUAAAGAAAACUGCAAAUGAUUUUUUAAACAUGAAAAGAACUCAAUCUCACUGUAAAUUAAAAAAACAAACUUUAAUAAGAAUUGUUUUUGAAUAACUGUUAUUUUUUAGACAAUGUACUGAAGAUACAGCAGUAAACAGAGUGGACAUGGUCUCCCCACUAUGGAGCAUAUUUGAUGAAGACCGAUGUUACCAUACGCUAUAAAACCAGAGAUGCCCUGCCCAGUAAGGAGGAAUCUAGAGAAGCAGUCUGUCCACAGCCACUUUGCCACACUGUGGUGAGUUCUAUCCAGUCCAGACCUCCCUGCUGCCUUAGCACUGUCGGGGGAAAACUGCCUAGUAAAGCCUCAGUAAUUGUGAACGCCCCUACCCCAACCAAGCUGGAUCAUCCCAGGUCAACUUCAGGCUGCUGUGCUGGCAGUGAGAAUUUCAAACCAGCGGUUCUUAGCUUGCUGGGCUCUGUGAGAGUGGGACACACUGAGUGAGACCACUUGGCUCCCUGGCUUCAGUCCCCUUUCCAGGAGAGCGAAUGGUUCUGUAUUGCUGGGGUUCCAGGCACCACUGGGAUACGAAAAAGACUCCUGCAGCUAGCUUGGUGUCUGCCCAAACAGCCACCCAGUUUUGUGCUUGAAACCCAGGGCCCUGGUGGCGUAGGCACCUGAUCUGCAGAUUGUAAAAACUGUGGGGAAAGCGUAGUAAUCCAGCUGGGUAGCACAGUCCCUCAUGGCUUCCCUUGGCUGCAAGGAGGGAGGUCCCCUGGCACCUUGCACUUCCCAGCUGAGGCAAUGCCCCACCCUGCUUCUGCUCACCUUCCGUGGACUGCACCCACUGCCUAACCAGUCCCAAUGAGAUGAACUGUGUUCCUCAGUUGGAAAUGCAGAAACCACCUGCCUUCUGUGUUGGUCUUACUGGGAGCUGCAGACCAGAGCUUUUCUUAUUCAGCCAUCUUGGCCCCUUGUUUGGAUUUAUUUUUUACAAAAUAUUUUCAACUCUAUUAAGAUUAAAUUUUGUACAACAUCUGUGGCCAUUUAUUUUACUUUUAAAGUUUUAAUGGUACAUAAUAAUUGUACACAUGUUGGGGGUACAUGUGAUAUUUUGAUAUAUGUAUACAACAUGUAGUGACCAAAUCAGGGUAAGUGGGAUAUCUAUAACCUCAAACGUUCAUCAUUUCUUUGUGUUGGGGAAAUUCAAAUUCCUCUCUUCUAGCUAUUUUGAAAUACACAAUAGAUAGUCAUUAAACUUGUCACCCUACUAUGCCACAGAACACUGGAACUUAUUUCUUCUAUUUAACUGAAAUUUUGUAACCACUAACCAAACUCUUCCUGUCUUCCCCUCCCCUAUAUCCUUUCUAGCUUCUGUUAACCAUUAUUUUAUUCUGUACUUCUAUGAGAUCAACUGUUUUAGUUUCCACAUAUGAGUGAGAACAUGUGGUAUUUGUCUUUAUGUGCCUGGCUUAUUUCACUUAAUGGAAUGCCCUCCAGUUUUCUCCAUUUUGCCACAAAUGACAAGAUUUCAUUCCUUUUAAUGGCUGAAUUCUAUUCCAUUGUAUAUAUACACCACAUUUUCUGUGUUCACUCAUCCAUUGAUGGAUACUCAAGUUGAUUCUAUAUCCAUAUUUGUUUUUGAGUUGGUUUUGGUCAUUUUUAUCUUUCAAAAAUUUUCCAUUUCAUCAGGCUUGUUAAUUGAUUUCCCUUUUAAGGUGUCUUGUUUUUAUUCUCUUCAACUUAAAAUUAAAAUUUUAAUUAUGCCUUUGGCUUAUAACAGGUCAGGAAAACAAGACCCCUUCUAUUACACAGUCUUAGUAAUUGUGUGAAUCAAUACAAAAUGUUUGGAGUGUAAUUUGGUGCCAAUAAAAAGUAAUAGCUUCAAUACAUCUGCAUUUGACCCAGACAUUCCAACUCUAGGGAAUCUUUUUUUUCUUUUUCAGAAAUAUAAUUGUUUAUGUACUUACAUGUAUACGUACUUACUUUACUUACAAGUACAUGUUUAUGUACUUACAAAUAUCUAAGAAUAUUUAUAGCAUCAUUUUUUCAUAAUUAAAAAUGGAAACAACAAUGAAAAUUAAUUAAUAAAUGUCUAUCUAAUAAAGAAUAGGACAUCCACAUAAUGGAAUCCUAUGUUAAAAAAAAAAGAGGUAGAGUAAUAUGUGCUGACAUGGAAAGAUAUAUUUUAUAUGUUGUUAAAUGAGAAAGAAAAGGUUGCAAACAGAUUUUCACAGCCUUUACGAAAAAGAAUAUGGAGAUACAUGCUUGGAAAAUUUCUCUAAAAUUAUAUGGCAAGUAUUUGGGCUUGGGCAAUUUAAGGAAUUGGAAGAAAGAUUAAUCCCAAUUUAUACCCUUAGGCACCAAUUGAAAUUCUCAGAUUUAACAGGUGUACUUAAAAUACUUAAAAUGAAAACAAAAAUGCAGACAAAUGUUUUGUAAUUCCUACUUUUUCUGUCUUACUCCAGCAUUAGACAGAUUUCCAACUUACAUUUUGUCAGUUCCUCCAGGUUGCAAACAGAACUGUGUACAUAAGCUGUCCUUAUGCUCUCUCUACUUUGCAGUGGUCCAGCUGGUAAUCAGGGACAUGCCAUAGGAAAAAAAAAAGUCUGGAAGAAUCUUGCUGGAAUGCAUACAGAUGCACAUAUAUCAAGAGGAGUGAAAACCUGAGACAAUAGAACAGAAUAGAGUUCGAUUUAGGGGAGGGACCUCUUACAGUAUUCUGUAGGGUCCACAGGACUAAACGCAGGAGCCUUUUUAAAAUGAAUGAAGGAGUCAUCAGGCUUUUUAGAAGAUAUUUGGUGAAGUUAAGGCUUUGACCAAGACCAAUAUGCAGACUUUUUUGGGAUAUUGGUGCAUGUUUUAGAGGCCAAUUGUGGUGUCUCCUACUGGGGGAAAAGGGUUGAUUUAGGCUCCGAAUAACUAGAGAAACUUGAGAAAAGCCUAAGAUAAACGACAGAGGUAGUUGACUGUUUAGAAUCUGAGACAUCUGGAAACCUAGACCUGAGGUUUUCAGGAAGGCAGCCCCAGUAUUAAGAAGUCCCUGAUUGGUAAGAUUUCAGGUUUUCCCGUCAAACAAAAACUUUCAAAAGUUCUAAAACUUAAUUGGUCAAAAAAUGGGAAUAACUUAAAGUUUGUUCUGCUCCCACUAGACUGAUUGCCUGGGGACUCCCUGAACGUGGGCUAAUUAAGAAGUAGUAACUCGGUGAUUAAGUACCCUUGGGAAGAAGGGAAGAGGGAGGAGAGGGGAGAGAGAGAGGACCCUCAACUUUGCCCAACACUCAUUUCUGGGCUUUUUCCUAAGCUCCUCUGGGAGGACAUUUCCCUUCUUCGCCAUGAGUGGGGAUUGCAGCAACUUGUUCUGGCCCCUGUGCAUGGCUCAGCACUAGCAGGACAGGAGGUAGCCUCAGCGGAGCCCUAGAGAACAUCAGAAGAGGCGGCGAAGCCCCUCUGUAAAG